rnacentral:lncRNA from 1 species
AUGCAGGCAAAAAUGGCCGUAUGUUGGACACCCCGACCGGUUUUACUCAUACCCUCCCCACCCGUGGAUCCGGCUUAGUUAUCCCUGCUCGAGUCCUACGUGUUAGUACGUCACACCUAGCAUCACCCCGGCUACUAGAGGUCCAAGAAGCAUUCCUAUGCCUCAUAUCCAAGCAGUGGCCGAAGUCACAUUUUAAUCAAUGCCGCAGCGACUCGAAUUUGGAACUGUGAGGAUAAAAAUUACGCCCAAUACCACUAGGCUACCACCUUGGUGGUAAGGGAAGCUUCUUGCUUCCACCACCUUCUUUUCAAAAAUAGAAAAACCACCUAUAAAAUCUAUAAAUAAUUCUUGGAGCUUGCUAUUGUGCUCCUGUAAAAUCCGUACAAUAUGUAUUUUUCUUUUUUUUUUUUGGUAUAACAGCCACUCCUAUGUGUCGAGCACGGGUAAGGCCGACACGAGUAAGGCCGACCGAAUCAAAAAAGAGUAAAUAACACAGGACGUGGGGCACUUCAGCCGUGUCAUCUCAUAUGAAACCUCCAGCAUAAUGGGCUAAAAAAGAUGCCAUCAAAUCAACCGCACUGUUCGCCUCUCUGUAGAUAUGUGUAG